UACAGAGGUCUCAAGCGUUGUUCGGAAUUACUGGGCGUAAAGCGUGCGCAGGCGGCUUCUCAAGUCAGGGGUGAAAGCCCAGAGCUCAACUCUGGAACUGCCUUUGAGACUGAGAGGCUUGAGUACGGGAGAGGUGAGUGGAAUUCCCAGUGUAGAGGUGAAAUUCGUAGAUAUUGGGAAGAACACCGGUGGCGAAGGCGGCUCACUGGCCCGUAACUGACGCUCAUGCACAACAGCGUGGGGAUCAAACAGG
rnacentral:rRNA from 1 species